UCUAGGAUAAGUAAAAGUAGUCAUGAUAAGUGUUAGACAUGUAACGAAGAGCCAGAAGAUACCAAACGCGCACCAUGUAACUGUUCCAAGUGAAGGAUUCAGUGUUGAAGGAUUAGGAUUGUAGAACUUAUAAACAAUAAAGAUUUUAACUAACAAUGUAUAGAUUAGCUCCAAAAUUCUAUGUAAAGGCGGCAAAUUACACGUACAAGUAUUGAACAAACUAAGGAAGCAUUAUUAUACUUUUACUGGACAUUCACGAGCGGCCAUCUUGGAUUCUCAUGAACAUAGGAUGGCUGUUACACGUGCGCAUUGGAAUGCAUGUAUUAAUUAUACACAUGAAAUAAAUGCAAAAUAAUAUUAUUCCCACUUCAA